GAAGCUUAGAAACCGUUUCGCUUGACGAUUUGGGCAGACGAGCGAGCAAGCAAGCGGGCAGUGUCAUCAGGUGUCAGAACCAGAAGAUCCUCUUGAGCACCAGGACUAGAUUCCUUGGUUCGGAGCACUAUCGUCAACCCUGCUGCCUGCAAUCCCUGUGUGGAAUUGGGGGCCUGGGGUAAGGCGCCAAACAGGAAACAACACUGUGGGCUAAUUUGACUCUUGAAUGUCCAAUGAACGUACGUACAUAGAUUGCUGUGUUAGAUGCACUCGUGCACCAGCCGCACUUGGUUUACUUCGUUAAGCAGGCAAGCUGUAUGAAGAGGUAGCCGAGGCCAUCAACCUAUCAUCGUCCUAUGGUCUUCGCUAGACCGACGGCCGCUUGGGUGCCGUUGGCCAGCACUGUCCGCUGCCUCCGAUACGUCUUUGGUGGCUUAAAAUGAGCCGUUCCACGCUGCUGAACCCCACUAUUUCCGCAUGGCUUACACCGGCCUCUGCGCGGCGGCCAUGGACGUGAACUUCGCAUAGGAGUGGACUAAGCCAAGUCCUUCGUCCGAUUCAUUGAAAUGGAUGCGAUGCGAUCUUCAGCAAUACCACUUGUGACCGGGCUGAGUUCUGGCUAGUCCUACACCUGCUGGUUGAGAGGCAGGCAGGCGAACCUGUUGCAGUUCCUACUCAAGACAGGCCAUGCAGCGAGCCGCGCCAGCUCUCUCGGAACCUGGCAAGACGGAAGCCCAAACCCUUGAAUGACAAGGGGUGGAGAGCGAGACUUGCAUGGCCACUUGGCGGGCAGGCUGCCAUACCCUGCGGUCCUCUCGCCAGUCGGGCAAGUUGAUAGGUUGUAAGGUUUAUUAUCCAGUUUGCCUCUGAUUUUCAAAUGCCGAUUUACAUCGCGCCAUGCCCGAUGUCCCAGCUCCAUAUCGUAUCCCCCGGACUCCCAACCCUACAUGAACCUGGUCUCCAUGUUACGAUAAUCACAAGCUAAGCACUGAGCCUGAGGUCUCACGAUGCAAGCAUGGAAAAGAAAAUAAUCUACGUAUUAACAUCCAAGGGAUGGACUUAAGUGCACCACGGUCAAUAUGUGCAAGCCCAUGCAAGCAUUUGUUGCAUCGUGCAGAUCAAAACGCGCCAUU
rnacentral:lncRNA from 1 species